UACGAAGGGUGCAAGCGUUACUCGGAAUUACUGGGCGUAAAGCGUGCGCAGGCGGUUGUGCAAGACAGAUGUGAAAUCCCCGGGCUUAACCUGGGAAUGGCAUUUGUGACUGCACGGCUAGAGUGUGUCAGAGGGGGGUAGAAUUCCACGUGUAGCAGUGAAAUGCGUAGAUAUGUGGAGGAAUACCGAUGGCGAAGGCAGCCCCCUGGGAUAACACUGACGCUCAUGCACGAAAGCGUGGGGAGCAAACAGG
rnacentral:rRNA from 1 species